CCUACGGGUGGCAGCAGUGGGGAAUAUUGCACAAUGGGCGCAAGCCUGAUGCAGCCAUGCCGCGUGUAUGAAGAAGGCCUUCGGGUUGUCAAGUACUUUUAGCGGGGAGGAAGGGAGUAAAGUUAAUACCUUUGCUCAUUGACGUUACCCGCAGAAGAAGCACCGGAUAACUCCGUGCCAGCAGCCGCGGUAAUACGGAGGGUGCAAGCGUUAAUCGGAUUUACUGGGUGGAAAGAGAAAGCAGGUGGAUUGUUAAGUCAGAUGUGAAAGUUUGGGGCUCAACCGGAGAAUUGCAGCUGAUACUGGCAGUCUUGAGUACAGUAGAGGUGGGUGGAAUUCGAGGUGUAGCGGUGAAAUGCUUAGAGAUCUCGAAGAAUUCCGAUGGCGAAGGCAGCCCCCUGGACGGAAACUGACACUGAGGUUCGAAAGCGUGGGUAUCAAACAGGAUUAGAUACCCUAGUAGUC
rnacentral:rRNA from 1 species